GGCAAGGUGGCGGAACGGUCACGCAGCGGUUUGCAAAACCGUACCAAAUGGGUUCAACUCCCAUCCUUGCCUCCA
rnacentral:tRNA from 1 species